CUUGGGGGAACAAGAGUGACGGGCGAUUUGUGCAUGUUAAAUUUCUUUCUCAAUUUCAAUUUCUUUUUAAUAUUUAAGAUUAAGUCCCUCUUUAUCUUAUUCUUUUUUUGUACAGAGCCUCAUGGAUUGUUUCACAUUUACUUUUCGAAAUUAAUUUUGUCUUGAUUUGUUUUAUUAUUUAAUUUUAUUUUCUAAUUUUAAUUUUUUUAGAAUUUUCUAACAAUGAUAUAAAAAUUUAUAUUCGAAAUAAAUUUAAUCGUGGGUUAUCGAUUACGUAACAUGAACCCCUAGUAAGAUUUAUCACCGCCAUAUUAUUUAGAUUUCUUUUAUUUAAAUACUUCCUGUUCUUGAUUUAAAA
rnacentral:rRNA from 1 species